UACGUAGGGUGCAAGCGUUGUCCGGAAUUAUUGGGCGUAAAGAGCUCGUAGGCGGUUUGUUGCGUCGGCUGUGAAAUCCCGAGGCUCAACCUCGGGUCUGCAGUCGAUACGAGCAAACUAGAGUGUUGCAGGGGGAGACUGGAAUUCCUGGUGUAGCGGUGAAAUGCGCAGAGUAUCAGGAGGAACACCCGGUGGCGAAGGC
rnacentral:rRNA from 1 species